rnacentral:rRNA from 1 species
UACGUAGGGGGCAAGCGUUGUCCGGAUUUAUUGGGCGUAAAGAGCGUGUAGGCGGCCUGACAGGUCUGCUGUGAAAACUCGAGGCUCAACCUCGAGAUGUCGGCGGAAACCGUCUGGCUAGAGUCCGGAAGAGGAGAGUGGAAUUCCUGGUGUAGCGGUGAAAUGCGUAGAUAUCUGGAGGAACACCGGUGGCGAAGGCGGCAUCCUGGACCGAUAUUGACGCUGAUGCGCGAAAGCCAGGGGAGCAAACGGG